rnacentral:rRNA from 1 species
UACGGAGGGUGCAAGCGUUAUCCGGAUUUACUGGGCUUAAAGGGUGCGUAGGCGGGUAGGUAAGUCAGUGGUGAAAUCUUCGAGCUUAACUCGGAAACUGCCAUUGAUACUAUUUAUCUUGAAUACUUUGGAGGUAAGCGGAAUAUGUCAUGUAGCGGUGAAAUGCUUAGAUAUGACAUAGAACACCAAUUGCGAAGGCAGCUUACUACACAGUCAUUGACACUGAGGCACGAAAGCGUGGGGAUCAAACAGG